GGGUGGUGCAGGUAGGGGCACCGGGGGGCCUGCACUGUGUGUGUGUGUGUGUGAGUGUGAUCGCCAUCGGGGUCGUGCAGGUAGGGGUCCCCGGGGCCCUGCACUCUGUGUGUGUGUGUGUGUGUUCACCAUCAGCCCUCUUGGGGCCCGGGGUCCUGUGCUGUGUGUGUGUAUAUGUGUGAGUGAUCGAUCGCCAUCAGGUCACACAGGUAGGGUUCCUGAGGCCACCUACACACAUAGGAUGUGGCAUGCCCAGAGUCCCCGCUUUCUGACCAGAGACUGGGAAGAGUGGGCCCUGAGACCCCCCACAUGCGGCCCCAGGAGCCAGCAGGGGCUCCUGUUCUCUCUCCACCUCAGCCCGUGCCCAAAGCGUCCCAGGUACAAGCCCACCUCUACCCGCCAGGUCCUCCCCACCUCGAGACCCCUGCGUGCGCGUGCCAUGCGGCCCGGGGCCAGGUCCUCCCCACCCCGAGACCCCGGCGUGCGCGUGCCAUGCGGCCCGGGGCCAGGUCCUCCCCCACCUCGAGACCCUUGCGUGCAUGUGCCAUGCGGCCCGGGGCCAGGUCCUCCCCACCUCGAGACCCCGGCGUGCGCGUGCCAUGCAGCCCGGGGGUUGACUGCUGUGGGGGCCCCCUCUGCUCUUGGGGCCGGUGUCCUGCAGCUUGCUUUUCCCACAGGCACUGAUUGU
rnacentral:lncRNA from 1 species